UACGUAGGGUGCGAGCGUUGUCCGGAAUUAUUGGGCGUAAAGAGCUCGUAGGCGGUUUGUCACGUCUGCUGUGAAAUCCCGAGGCUCAACCUCGGGCCUGCAGUGGGUACGGGCAGACUGGAGUGCGGUAGGGGAGAAUGGAAUUCCUGGUGUAGCGGUGGAAUGCGCAGAUAUCAGGAGGAACACCGGUGGCGAAGGCGGGUCUCUGGGCCACUACUGACGCUGAGGAGCGAAAGCCAGGGGAGCGAACGGG
rnacentral:rRNA from 1 species